GAUACCCUGGUAGUCCACGCAGUAAACGAUGAGCACUAAUUGUCCGGUCCGAAUGAGGACUGGGUGAUACAGCGAAAGCGUUAAGUGCUCCACCUGGGGAGUACGCCGGCAACGGUGAAACUCAAAGGAAUUGACGGGGGCCCGCACAAGCGGAGGAACAUGUGGUUUAAUUCGAUGAUACGCGAGGAACCUUACCCGGGCUCAAACGCGGCGUGAAUACUUUUGAAAGGAGGUAGUCAGCAAUGACACGCCGCGAGGUGCUGCAUGAUUGUCGUCAGCUCGUGUCGUGAGAUGUUGGGUUAAGUCCCGCAACGAGCGCAACCCCUGUCCUUAGUUGCCAGCACGUAAAGGUGGGAACUCUAAGGAGACUGCCGGUGAUAAAUCGGAGGAAGGUGGGGAUGACGUCAAAUCAUCAUGCCCUUUAUGUCCUGGGCUACACACGUACUACAAUGGCCGUGACAGAGAGAAACGAAGUAGUGAUGCAGAGUAAAACUCAAAAAACGGUCUCAGUUCGGAUUGAAGGCUGAAAUUCGCCUUCAUGAAGCUGGAAUUGCUAGUAAUGGCAGGUCAGCAUACUGCCGUGAAUACGUUCCCGGGCCUUGUACACACCGCCCGUCACACCAUGAGAGUUGGAAAUACCCGAAGCCUGUGAGCUAACUUAAAGAGGCAGCAGUCGAAGGUAGAGCCAAUGAUUGGGGUGAAGUCGUAACAAGGUACC
rnacentral:rRNA from 1 species